rnacentral:tRNA from 1 species
UCCUUCUUAGCUCAGUUGGUUAGAGCAUCUGACUGUUAAUCAGAGGGUC